UACGUAGGGUGCAAGCGUUGUCCGGAAUUCAUUGGGCGUAAAGAGCUUGUAGGCGGUUUGUCGCGUCUGCUGUGAAAUUUCGGGGCUCAACCCCGAACUUGCAGUGGGUACGGGCAGACUAGAGUGUGGUAGGGGAGACUGGAAUUCCUGGUGUAGCGGUGAAAUGCGCAGAUAUCAGGAGGAACACCGAUGGCGAAGGCAGGUCUCUGGGCCAUAACUGACGCUGAGAAGCGAAAGCAUGGGGAGCGAACAGG
rnacentral:rRNA from 1 species